AAAUCGAACCGAAGCCAGCGCCGAUGCGACCGAACGAGUGACUUUCGACAUCGUCUGCAGUGUUUUCUGAAUGACAAACACUUGAGUCCUCUCGUAUUUGAUAAGAGUGAAUUCCCGGCCAUUUACUUUGCUUCCUCGGACAACGGCCGACUUUAUUCGCCUACAGACGAAGAUCACAUAAUCGAGUCACACUCCGUACGAUGACACGGCGAAAACUGCCAAAUAACCCAGGAACGUAUUUUUCUGGACAUACUAUGGAGAGACAAGAAGAAGAAGAGAAGGAGGAGAAGAUAAAUUUCUCGUCAAAUGAUGCUUGUCACUAAAAGCCUCGAGAUCCAAGUGGAAGAAAUGCGAAGACAUUAUGACGUCCGAUAGCGGGAAACGAACCCGUGCCACCAUAAUCACAACAAGGUCAUCUUCAUUUCCAGUUUUAAAACGUCAGGUGACAAACUUCUCUUCAGUUUUCACAGGCCGUGAUUGUUGCAAUGCAUCAGAGAUGCACCAGAAAGCUGAUGUGUUGAAAUCUGUUGCAAGUUUCACCAGGUAAGGUGACUUGAGGUUGGUGGGCGUUCAUUUUUUAUUAUUCAUUAAUAGCGAGAUUUUCUUUAAAAAGUCAAGCUUUAUUUGUCAACACAUAAAAGCCUUUCAGGUUUUGUGAUCCAACUUCUUGUAUUUCUUCUGAAGACUUUUUAAAUUUUAGUUGUUAAUAUAUCACUUAUUAUUGAGAAGAUGAAACCUAUUCAUAUGGAACAAGCCCACCAAAGGGGCAACUGACUUGAAAUUCAAUCUUCCAAAGAUUAUGGUGUUCAUUAGGAAGACGGGGUAAAGGGAAAUACAGAAAUUGGAGACACCACUUAUUAAAAACGAAAGAAAAAAAAAAAAUAAAAAAAUGGAAGAAUAGUAGUAUUGUGGUAAUGUAUUGCACCUUCGGUUUAACUUCAGAAAGUUCCGAAUUAAUUUUUUUUUUUUUUAAUUUGCUCUUCUAGCAGUGAUGAAAUACGUUUUUUUUUAUUCUCCAGUUUCUAGAAAAAAAUUGUGGUCGCAAUCUUGAAAGUGCGCCUUUGCAUUGCAGGUUUUAUUUAUUUUGAUUCUAAUCGAGUCGUUUAUAGACUCACUCAAGACUGCCGUAAGGUUAAUUUAUUUUCUCUUGUUUUCCUGAAUACUGUUCCUCUUCAGUGUCAAGCGCCUCAGUGGCGUGAUCGGUAUGGUCUUGGCCUGCCACCUCGAUGGCCGCUAGUUAGAUUCUCGGGCAUUCCUUUGAGAUGUGAGAGAUGUCCAUUUCUGGUGAUAGAAGUUCACCCUCGACGUGGUUCGGAAGUCUCGUAAAGCCGUCGGUCCCGUUGCUGAAUAACCACCGGUUCCAUGCAACGUUAAAACACCAUACAAACAAAGCUUCGGUGUCAUUGCUGUAUUGAUUGUAUGCAUGCUGAAUGUCUUCUCAUUUAACAACUGUUCUGUUGACUGUCAGUGUCUUAAUUCCCUCUGCCGAGACCAUCUCUCAAAAUGCCUUUGAUUUUUUUUACACUGGGACCUACGAGGCCAUUCAAUGCUGCAAUGGAAACCAACAGUGUAAGGGUUGACAGGUGUAACAGGAGGAAAACCUCAAAGGAGUUGCACUACGAAUCAAUUGUUAGGAGAGGGUGGAAAGUGAGAUAGAAGAAAGAGAAUAUGAAAGGAGGUAGAGUAAAAGAAAUGAAAGUUGUUACAGCUAGGGGCGGAAGGCGAGCUACAAAGAACCUCUAAGUAGCUGAAGCCACUGUUCUUCCUACAGG